CGAGUUGGCCAGACAAUCGCUGCUUAAUCGUUGUAUCUGAUGCGCAAGUUGAUGAUAGACAGAUUAAGGGGAGGAAAGUCCGGGCUCCAUUGAGCAGGGUGCCAGGUAACACCUGGGCGGCGCAAGCCGACGACAAGUGCAGCAGAGAGAAGACCGCCAGCAGUUUACUGCCGGUAAGGGUGAAAGGGUGCGGUAAGAGCGCACCGGGCGACUGGUAACAGUUCGCAGCAGGGUAAACUCCACCCGGAGCAAGACCAAAUAGGGUUCCGUACGGCGUGGCUCGCGUUGGAACCGGGUAGGUUGCUUGAGCUAUAGAGCGAUUUAUAGCCUAGACGAAUGAUUGUCGCUUCUUCGGAAGUAACAGAACCCGGCUUAUACGGCCAACUCAACAA
rnacentral:RNase_P_RNA from 1 species